GGGGAAUUUUCCGCAAUGGGCGAAAGCCUGACGGAGCAACGCCNGCGUGGAGGGAGGAAGGCNCUGUGGGUUGUAAACCUCUUUUCUCAGGGAAGAAGUUCUGACGGUACCUGAGGAAUCGGCAUCGGCUAACUCCGUGCCAGCAGCCGCGGUAAGACGGAGGAUGCAAGCGUUAUCCGGAAUUAUUGGGCGUAAAGCGUCCGUAGGCGGUUCAGAAAGUCUGCUGUUAAAGCUCACAGCUCAACUGUGAAUCGGCAGUGGAAACUUCUGGACUAGAGAGUGGUAGGGGUAGAGGGAAUUCCUAGUGUAGCGGUGAAAUGCGUAGAUAUUAGGAAGAACACCAGUGGCGAAGGCGCUCUACUGGGCCAUUACUGACGCUGAUGGACGAAAGCUAGGGGAGCGAAAGGGAUUAGAUACCCCUGUAGUCCUAGCUGUAAACGAUGGACACUAGGUGUUGGCCGUAUCGACCCGGUCAGUAUCGAAGCAAACGCGUUAAGUGU
rnacentral:rRNA from 1 species